rnacentral:miRNA from 1 species
AAACCGUUACCAUUACUGAAUUU